GACGAACGCUGGCGGCGUGCUUAACACAUGCAAGUCGAACGGAAAGGCCCUGCUUUUGUGGGGUGCUCGAGUGGCGAACGGGUGAGUAACACGUGAGUAACCUGCCCUUGACUUUGGGAUAACUUCAGGAAACUGGGGCUAAUACCGGAUAGGAGCUCCUGCUGCAUGGUGGGGGUUGGAAAGUUUCGGCGGUUGGGGAUGGACUCGCGGCUUAUCAGCUUGUUGGUGGGGUAGUGGCUUACCAAGGCUUUGACGGGUAGCCGGCCUGAGAGGGUGACCGGGCACAUUGGGACUGAGAUACGGCCCAGACUCCUACGGGAGGCAGCAGGGGGGAAUAUUGCACAAUGGGCGGAAGCCUGAUGCAGCAACGCCGCGUGCGGGAAGACGGCCUUCGGGUUGUAAACCGCUUUCGCCUGUGACGAAGCGUGAGUGACGGUAAUGGGUAAAGAAGCACCGGCUAACUACGUG
rnacentral:rRNA from 1 species